CCUACGGGAGGCAGCAGUAGGGAAUAUUGCACAAUGGGGGAAACCCUGAUGCAGCGACGCCGCGUGAGGGAAGAAGGAAUUCGGUAUGUAAAGCUCUAUCAGCAGGGAAGAAAAUGACGGUACCUGAGUAAGAAGCACCGGCUAACUACGUGCCAGCAGCCGCGGUAAUACGUAGGGGGCAAGCGUUAUCCGGAUUUACUGGGUGUAAAGGGAGCGUAGACGGCAGUGCAAGUCUGGAGUGAAAGGCGGGGGCUCAACCACCGAACUGCUCUGGAAACUGUACGGCUGGAGUGCAGGAGAGGUAAGUGGAAUUCCUAGUGUAGCGGUGAAAUGCGUAGAUAUUAGGAGGAACACCAGUGGCGAAGGCGGCUUACUGGACUGUAACUGACGUUGAGGCUCGAAAGCGUGGGGAGCAAACAGGAUUAGAUACCCUUGUAGUC
rnacentral:rRNA from 1 species